rnacentral:rRNA from 3 species
GGGCCUUGUACACACCGCCCGUCACACCAUGGGAGUGGGUUGCAAAAGAAGUAGGUAGCUUAACCUUCGGGAGGGCGCUUACCACUUUGUGAUUCAUGACUGGGGUGAAGUCGUAACAAGGUAACCGUAGGGGAACCUGCGGUUGGAUCACCUCCUUACCUUAAAGAAGC